rnacentral:lncRNA from 10 species
UUUAGUAGAGACAGGGUUUUGCUGUGUUUCCUAGGCUGGUCUCGAACUCUGGGCUCAAGUGAUCCACCUGCCUCAGCCUCCCAGAGUGCUAGGAUUACAGGCGUGAUCUGCUGUGCCUGGCCCUUUCAGAUAUUAUGAUCAGAUUUGUUCUAUUGAACCCAAAUUCCCAUUUUCUGAAAAUCAGAUCUGCUUGACAUUUACCUGGAAGGAUGCUUUCGAUAAAGGUUCACUUUUUGGAGGCUCUGUAAAACUGGCUCUUGCAAGCUUAGGAUAUGAAAAGAGCUGUGUGUUGUUCAAUUGUGCAGCCUUAGCUAGCCAAAUUGCAGCAGAACAGAACCUGGAUAAUGAUGAAGGAUUGAAAAUCGCUGCUAAACAUUACCAGUUUGCUAGUGGUGCCUUUUUACAUAUUAAAGAGACGGUUUUAUCUGCCUUAAGUCGAGAGCCGACCGUGGACAUAUCUCCAGAUACUGUUGGGACCCUCAGUCUUAUUAUGCUGGCACAGGCUCAAGAAGUAUUUUUUUUAAAAGCCACAAGAGAUAAAAUGAAAGAUGCCAUCAUAGCUAAAUUGGCUAAUCAGGCUGCAGAUUAUUUUGGUG